AAUCAACGCUGGCGGCGUGCCUAACACAUGCAAGUCGCACGAGAAAGGGAGCAAUCCCUGAGUAAAGUGGCGCACGGGUGAGUAACACGUGAAUAAUCUACCUCCGAGUGGGGAAUAACUGAGAGAAAUCUUAGCUAAUACCGCAUAACACUUACGAGUCAAAGCAGCAAUGCGCUUGGAGAGGAGUUCGCGGCCGAUUAGUUAGUUGGCGGGGUAAUGGCCCACCAAGACGAUGAUCGGUAUCCGGCCUGAGAGGGCGCACGGACACACUGGAACUGAAACACGGUCCAGACUCCUACGGGAGGCAGCAGUGGGGAAUUUUGCGCAAUGGGGGAAA
rnacentral:rRNA from 1 species